AGUCGAGCGGUAGAGAGAAGCUUGCUUCUCUUGAGAGCGGCGGACGGGUGAGUAAUGCCUAGGAAUCUGCCUGGUAGUGGGGGAUAACGUUCGGAAACGGACGCUAAUACCGCAUACGUCCUACGGGAGAAAGCAGGGGACCUUCGGGCCUUGCGCUAUCAGAUGAGCCUAGGUCGGAUUAGCUAGUUGGUGRGGUAAUGGCUCACCAAGGCGACGAUCCGUAACUGGUCUGAGAGGAUGAUCAGUCACACUGGAACUGAGACACGGUCCAGACUCCUACGGGAGGCAGCAGUGGGGAAUAUUGGACAAUGGGCGAAAGCCUGAUCCAGCCAUGCCGCGUGUGUGAAGAAGGUCUUCGGAUUGUAAAGCACUUUAAGUUGGGAGGAAGGKUUGUAGAUUAAUACUCUGCAAUUUUGACGUUACCGACAGAAUAAGCACCGGCUAACUCUGUGCCAGCAGCCGCGGUAAUACAGAGGGUGCAAGCGUUAAUCGGAAUUACUGGGCGUAAAGCGCGCGUAGGUGGUUUGUUAAGUUGGAUGUGAAAUCCCCGGGCUCAACCUGGGAACUGCAUUCA
rnacentral:rRNA from 1 species